rnacentral:rRNA from 1 species
ACGUACACUCCUGCGGGAGGCAGCAGUGAGGAAUAUUGGACAAUGGGUGGAAGCCUGAUCCAGCCAUCCCGCGUGCAGGAAGACGGCCCUAUGGGUUGUAAACUGCUUUUAUCUGGGGAUAAACCUACUUACGUGUAAGUAGCUGAAGGUACCAGAAGAAUAAGCACCGGCUAACUCCGUGCCAGCAGCCGCGGUAAUACGGAGGGUGCAAGCGUUAUCCGGAUUUAUUGGGUUUAAAGGGUCCGUAGGCGGACUGAUAAGUCAGUGGUGAAAUCCGACAGCUUAACUGUCGAACUGCCAUUGAUACUGUUAGUCUUGAGUAAGGUUGAAGUGGCUGGAAUAAGUAGUGUAGCGGUGAAAUGCAUAGAUAUUACUUAGAACACCAAUUGCGAAGGCAGGUCACUAAGUCUUAACUGACGCUGAUGGACGAAAGCGUGGGGAGCGAACAGGAUUAGAAACCCGUGUAGUCC